GUCCAAAAAUCAAGUAAAACAUAAACAAUGAGACUAAUAAGAUUGAUAGGUUGUGUUAUUUUGAUGUGUAUGAUUGAUGCAGCGCCAUCUGGUAGUAUAGACAGUAACAAACAAACUGGGCCAAAGAUAUACGAAGAGUCGUUUUUCUACAGUUUGUUCUUGAAGCUAAUGUCUAAUGGAUCUUUAAGACAAUGGAUCAAUCAGAAAUUUCUUAGGCCUUCCGGCAGCAGUUCUAGUUUAUCAUUUGGUGCAAAUGGUAGUAACAACAGACAAACAACAACCAUUCAAACAGAUACAACUUCACCAAGUUUGACCUUUGUGAGAGAUCAUGACCCUAAUGUUAAAGUUCAGACAAGUACGUCUGCAGUUAAAGAUCUUACAGUUGAACGGGAUCAUAUGAAUCCUACCCCGCCUUCCGGUCAGCUUGUAACAGACUCAAAAACAACAAAAAAUAAAGACAAAUUUACAAUACCGAUUGUUAUCUUAACUGGUACUGAAGCCGAAAAGAUAAAGGUACCAGACCAUACAACUGAAAGCCUGACUGUGGUUAGAGACUAUAUGCAAGAUGGCAGUACAAAAGUCAAACGUCACGUGUCAAGAAGAAAGAGAGCUCAUCAAUAUCAAUUGCCGAUGGUUAGACUGAGUUCAAAAAUUAAAUACAACAAUCCCUCUGACCAGGCAUCUCAAACAGCACCGCUGACCGAUGACGAUGGACAAGAUUUAGUUAUUGUCCGGGAUAAGUCGAAUCAACCAAAAACCGUUACAUUCAAAUUUGUGCCAUGCGGGAACGGUCAAAUGUGUAUUGUGUUUGCUUAAAGCUAGUACGAAGGGAUUUCAAAGAAAUGUCAAUUUUUUUUAACUUCCGGUUUCAAUGUUAAAUCAAAACAUCUUUUGCUUAUGGCUAUACCAACGUCGAGAGACCAACGUUAAAUUAUUCUUUACGUACGUGCAGUGUUAGGAGUUAUCAGAUGAACAAAGUGACAGUUACUUUUCCUUCUUUUUUGUGUAUGAUUUAUGAAUUCGUCCAGUGUAUCUCUCUAUAUAUAUACGUGUAUAUGUUUAUAAAAUAUUACACUAUAUAGCCUACUGUUGAACUCUUUUAAAUUAUUUGUUAAUGGCUACAGUUAGUGCUGUCAAUUGUACAGAACUGUUAUCAUUUCAUAUACAUUGUACUUACAAAAAUGUACAAACAUUUAGAAUUACAAUGUUUUCAUAAAUGGUGUCCUUUUGAUUAGAUAAUGCAUAAAUCUUCAAACUUACAGAAUUUUUGUUUGUAACAUGUCCGUGCUUUCUUUUUUAUUGUUCGAGAAAAGUACCAAAAAAUUGAAUUGGAGCCGCCAACUCGAGUUCGCAUGCAGAUACUCUUAUGACGAUGAAAGCAUGCAUUGAAUAUUUGUAUAUAAUUUUUAUUACAAAACUGAGUCAUAGGUGUAUCAAUGAUAUUGAUACUGUUGUGAUGUAAAAAAAAACAUCAUUUACAAGGUCUCUUAUUAUUUAUUCACACUUUUUUAUUUUUAUAUAACAGUUUCUUUGUAGCUUAUCUCAUUAUCUAUCAUUUAUUUCAUGUUUCAGGUUUUGAAGCCCAACGGUUAGUAAAAUCAUGGAAUUUAAUAACUCUGUGGGCAUAAACAUUUGCAAAUAUCAUUAUUGAUAUGAUGUUUUUUUUCCGUAAGGGAACAAGUUGCUAUGUAUCUGCUUAAGUUCCUCGGCUUUAGUUCAAAAGUUCAAAUGGGAUCAACAACUCUAUUAUUAAUUGCUUUUACUUUUUCAAAUUAUAAGAGAUGUUUGCUGCAAAAAAAGGCAUUAUCCUUAAAUUAUCUUCAUAUUUUCACAUAGAUCGAACAUUGGCUUAGUUAGGGAGCCCGUUUUUCCCAGCUCUCACAUUGAAAAUCCUUUUCUUUCAGAAAUCAUUAGAUCAUCACUUGUAGGUUGAUGUAUCUUAAUUCAUUUGAGGUCAGAACUCAUAAUCACCAAACUUAAAUUAAUAAGUUGAGGAAUUAUUUCGGAAGUUUAAAAUAUCUUUGACAAGAACGCAAAAUUGUUCGUUUUUUUAAAACUAAAUUGCAGUCCUGUUUCCAGGGAAAUCAAGACAACUUCCCGCAAAAAGUGUUAGACAAGAAACCAUAUCUUAACCCUGACGUCAUGAGGUUAUCUUCCCUUAACUGUAAUUGUACACGUAAGUGUAGCUUUUUUCAUGUUUUCUAUGUCAUAUUUGUUGUUGUAUAUGUGUUGUUGAAACAAUAAAAUUUUAUCAUCUCUA